GACGAACGCUGGCGGCGUGCUUAACACAUGCAAGUCGAACGAUGACGACCGAGCUUGCUCGGUCUGAUUAGUGGCGAACGGGCGAGUAACACGUGAGCAACCUGCCCUUCACUCUGGGAUAACCUCGGGAAAUCGGGGCUAAUACCGGAUAUGAGCUCCUGUCGCAUGGCGGGUGUUGGAAAGUUUUUCGGUGAAGGAUGGGCUCGCGGCCUAUCAGUUUGUUGGUGAGGUAGUGGCUCACCAAGGCGAUGACGGGUAGCCGGCCUGAGAGGGCGACCGGCCACACUGGGACUGAGACACGGCCCAGACUCCUACGGGAGGCAGCAGUGGGGAAUAUUGCACAAUGGGCGAAAGCCUGAUGCAGCGACGCCGCGUGAGGGAUGACGGCCUUCGGGUUGUAAACCUCUUUCAGCAGGGAAGAAGCGAGAGUGACGGUACCUGCAGAAGAAGCGCCGGCUAACUACGUG
rnacentral:rRNA from 1 species